rnacentral:tRNA from 1 species
GAUUCGAUAGCUUAAGUUUAAAGUAAUAGUUUGAAGCGCUAUGGAUAUCAUUUGAUUCGAAUCG